GCGGAAGUGGCGGAACUGGCAGACGCGGUAGUUUGAGGGGCUGCUGCUCGUUAAGAGCGUAAGGGUUCGAGUCCCUUCUUCCGCA
rnacentral:tRNA from 1 species